CGUUUAAGUUUGUUUGCUGCAAUAAUUAGAAAAUAUUUAGCAUUUAGAAUAAAAUGUAAACUCAAAACGUGAAAACAAAUGCAUCCCUACGCACACCGAUCGCGCACAACCCUGCGCGAAGAUUGCUCAUUUCACCCGUCAACCAACAAACAAGUGGCUGUCUCGUUCAGUCAAUCUAUGCUGCGAAUUCUCACUUACUCACCUUGGCAAAUAGGAGAGCCUUUGCUCAGAGAAUACACACGUACGGCGAUGCAAAGGGAGGCAAGCAAAAUCAGACCAUCGGACCGCUGCUAGAGCGGAGAGCUUUACGUUCAUCAUUCGCUCAUUCUCACCCAUCAUAAGACUCAUCGAAGGGGUGAGCAUACGAUUGCGACCAAGAGCAUGAUUAGUUUUACCCAGUUCGCGCACAACGCUGCACGCUAUAGACCGUCGCCGGUCAGUGUCAUCCGGGUCGUAGGGACGCCAAUUAAAGAUACGGCAGAAAAUUGUCUGGUCCGCGAGAAAAGCAUUCGCUUUGCCGAAUUUUCAGCAGUAAAAUCACUGAAGGCAAGGGAAAAUCACGGUCUGGAGUGUGGACGCUAGCGCCGCCAUCUUGCAAGGGAGCCGGCAAAGAAUACCCGGUGCAGACAAUAAUUUUAUCCUGCUCAUUGGGCAACUAGCCACAGCUGAACAGUUUGACAUCCACGAGAAAGCAAGGCCACCGUGCGAUUCAUCAAACCGUGAGAGAAGUUUUCGGAACAAAUCACGUGGCGGAUUGCUUAGACCAAGAACAAAAGCCUUCCAUCGGAAGUAAGUUUCCCGCCAUGCUUGAGCACCUGCAAUGAGGCUGAUCGCUUUGCAUCGCAGGGUUUUUGUUUUAUAUUGCAGAUUCUCGUCAGCAAGUAAGUCACGUCGUCCCCUACGGUCAAGAAUCCGAGACGGUCAUCACACUUUUAUAGCAGCUGGAGCACAGUUUCGGAAGCAGCAUGUGGCUGGGUGAGCCAACAACGGACAAUUGAACCGGGACGCUGUGUAAUAGGCCGCGAAGGCGUGUGCGUAAGCGAAGACGUCGGGAGAGGAAGAAUGGAAAUGAGCGGUAUUGUUUAUUCGUAGAGGGGCGCCCCGGAAGAAAGCAGUGAGUAAAACAAAAUAUGUGCGUAAAGUGUAAGAACAGAGUAGAGAAGGGAGCGAGAUGCAGUUGAAUAGGAAAUAGAAAGGAGGAGAGUAGAGAAAAGAAGGAAAAUGAAGGUGAAAUUGAGUUUGAGGAGAGGGGCGAAGCAGCGCCAAUAAAGUUUUAUGUUGAAUAUGAAGAUUUGUUGUGUUUUCAGUUUUGUGAGCGCAUUUUCUGAGCUUUCCGGGACUGCUCGAGGUUUUUGAUUCCCCCUCGACA